UACAGAGGUCUCAAGCGUUGUUCGGAUUCAUUGGGCGUAAAGGGUGCGUAGGCGGCGUGGUAAGUCGGGGUGUGAAAUCUCGGAGCUUAACUCCGAAACUGCAUUCGAUACUGCCGUGCUUGAGGACUGGAGAGGAGACUGGAAUUUACGGUGUAGCGGUGAAAUGCGUAGAUAUCGUAAGGAAGACCAGUGGCGAAGGCGGGUCUCUGGACAGUUCCUGACGCUGAGGCACGAAGGCCAGGGGAGCAAACGGGGAUUAGAACCUACCCUGU
rnacentral:rRNA from 1 species